GACGAACGCUGGCGGCGUGCUUAACACAUGCAAGUCGAACGGAAAGGCCCUGCUUUUGUGGGGUGCUCGAGUGGCGAAAGGGUGAGUAACACGUGAGUAACCUGCCCUUGACUUUGGGAUAACUUCAGGAAACUGGGGCUAAUACCGGAUAGGAGCUCCUGCUGCAUGGUGGGGGUUGGAAAGUUUCGGCGGUUGGGGAUGGACUCGCGGCUUAUCAGCUUGUUGGUGGGGUAGUGGCUUACCAAGGCUUUGACGGGUAGCCGGCCUGAGAGGGUGACCGGCCACAUUGGGACUGGGAUACGGCCCAGACUCCUACGGGAGGCAGCAGUGGGGAAUAUUGCACAAUGGGCGGAAGCCUGAUGCAGCAACGCCGCGUGCGGGAUGACGGCCUUCGGGUUGUAAACCGCUUUCGCCUGUGACGAAGCGUGAGUGACGGUAAUGGGUAAAGAAGCACCGGCUAACUACGUG
rnacentral:rRNA from 1 species